AUGGCGUCGUCGUCGUCGUCGCCGCCGGCGCGCCGCUCCGUGUUCGACGCCGCCUACAUCCGCGCGGAGUUCGACGCCGCCGGCAUCUCCCCCACCUUCAUCCCUACCAUCUGGAAGUACGUGCUGCAGAACCCUAGGUGCAGCGACCUCGACGGCGUCCCGUCCCUCUCGGCGGCCGCGUACGCGCUCCUGCGGAACAAGUUCCGGCCGACCACCUCGACCCUCACCGCCGCCGCCGAAUCCAAGGACCGCACCACCACCAAGUUGCUCAUCCGCCUCCAGAAUGGGGAAUCUGUAGAAGCAGUGAUUAUGCGGUAUGAUUCACGACUGGGGAAGUAUGAUGGGAAGACACGCCCUGGAGGAGUGCGUUCAACCCUGUGUGUAUCAUCACAGGUUGGGUGCAAGAUGGGCUGUAGAUUCUGUGCUACCGGAACAAUGGGAUUCAAAAGCAACCUUUCCUCUGGAGAAAUUGUUGAGCAGCUGGUCCAUGCAACCCGCUAUUCUCAAAUUCGAAACAUUGUUUUCAUGGGAAUGGGGGAGCCAUUAAACAACUAUACUGCUUUGGUUGAAGCAAUCCAAGUCUUGACAGGAUUUCCCUUUCAGAUUUCACCCAAGAGAGUUACUGUAUCUACUGUUGGGAUUAUCCAUUCGAUCAACAAGUUCAACAAUGAUCUUCCAAAUAUAAAUUUAGCUGUGUCAUUGCAUGCUCCUGACCAAGACAUACGAUGUCAUAUAAUGCCUGCUGCACGGGCCUUUCCUUUAGCAAAGCUAAUGAAUGCAUUACAAUCGUAUCAAAAUGCGAGCAAGCAGACAAUCUUCAUUGAGUACAUUAUGCUUGAUGGAGUGAACGAUCAGGAGGAGCAUGCCCACAAGCUUGGUAAACUACUUGAAAAUUUUAAAGCGGUUGUUAACCUGAUACCAUUCAAUCCAAUUGGCUCAGCGAGCACGUUCAAGACAAGCAGUGACCAGAGCAUCAAGAAGUUUCAGAAGGUCCUGAGAGGCAUCUACAGCAUCAGAACGACCGUUCGCCAGGAGAUGGGUCAAGACAUAGCCGGUGCCUGUGGGCAGUUGGUGGUUAGCCUGCCCGACGAAAGAUCGGCAGGCGGGGCCACCCUUCUGUCAGAUAUAGAAGAUCUCAGGAUCUGA
rnacentral:rRNA from 1 species